CCCCAUUGUUCUAUGAGUCUCUGAGUAUCAUUGUACCAGUAUCCCAUAGGUCUUUGCAUUCAUAUGGAAAUCUUGUUGGACACAAGGAAGAACCUAAAAAGGUCAUUUUCAAUAUAUAUCUCCAGUGCCAUACAUGAGAUAAUUCAUAAACAAGAGAAAUCAAUUCCCUACAGUUUCUGAAGCUGGAGCAUCAAGAUGAAAGGUGACAGUAGACCCAUGGCUGUGACAACCUGCUUCCCUGAAGAAGGAUGGUUUUACUGUAGCACACUGUCUAGGGCUUCUCAAUCCAUUCAUGAGAUUGAUCUCAUUUAUCAGCCCCAAAGCCCCACCUACUAUCCCCUUGUAAAGUAGGAUAUUAAUGUGUGAAUUUGGGGUACACACACACACACACAGAUCACAAAAGUAAAUACAAAAUUGAACCUGUGUUAUAUGUGAAGUGCAGAUGUACAUGAGACAAACACAUAUCAUAGAUACUUAUUAAGCUUUCAUCUUAGGGAAUGACUAGGAAAUACUGUUUAAAAAGUUUAAGGCAGUGAUCGAAGUCUAAGGAGCAGUGGUAUGAAAAAAACACUAAAGUUAACUUGAGGCAGUUACAAAAACUCUUACAUGUGUACAAUUUCACUUCCUAUUGAUGUAAAAAUUAACUAAAUAUCCUAUAAUAUCAUAAUUUGUAUAGAUGUGUACCUGAACUCUCUCUUACAAAAAAAACAAAAAACAAAAUAAAACAAAGACCUAGAGCAUGUUGUGUUGUUGUGUCACUUAGGAGACAAA